GGAACGCCUGGGGGGGGGGCGGGGGGAAUCCGGGGGGGGGUAGGGUUGGUCGGUAUUGCGGUGCGGAAAGCACACGUAGGCGGACCAGAAAGUUGGGGGGGAAAUCCCGGGGCGCAACCCCGGAAUGGCCGUCAAAAGUAUUGGUCUGGAGUUCGUGAGAGGUGAGUGGAAUUCCGGGUGUAGUGGUGAAAUUCGUAGAUAUUCGGAGGAACACCAGUGGCUAAGGCGGCUCACUGGCUCGAUACUGACGCUGAGGUGCGAAAGCGUGGGGAGCAAACAGGAUUAGAUACCGCAGUAGUC
rnacentral:rRNA from 1 species